rnacentral:lncRNA from 1 species
GCCGAGGCUCUGAAGUGGGUAAUUGCAGACCACAGCUAGGCUGGAAUGCUGUGUUUGGGGUGGUCAUUAGAGUCGUGGUCUCUUUAGCGUUAUGAAGCCUACCUUGACUCCUAGGUGUUCAUUGUGAAUCUUGUUGGUGCUGGUAUCGCUGUACCUCUCAAAUAGCUUCCCCAUUUUGACUAAGAAUGAAGAACUUCUUGGACAAAGAACUUGUAAAAAUCAGCCUUCUGCCCCAGCGUCUUCUCCAAAGAUACAGGAGCUUGCUGGACCCACUUGCAAGGGAAGCCUGGAAGUUGGGGAGUUAAUGUCUUCACGGCACUCUCAAUCAGUGAGGCAUGAG